CUCUAAUCCUUAAAAUAACCUUAUGUAUAAUGAAGUUCGUAUUAAUAAGGGCUAACGGACGUUGAAACUUGUUUAUCCCCCCUUUUAUAGCACCAGAAUUUAUAAAUGUCUCGCCUAUCAAGGAAAUUAAUUGUCCACAAAAAUUUGGCCCGAAAUAUUUUGAAAUGUUAUCAAGUUGAACAGUAAAAAUACAACAUAGAAAUAAAAUACAAGGAUACCUACCAGUUCCCAUGUCUUGACUUUUGACUUUUUGAUUCGGACCGAUCAAAACUUGUAAAACGACAAGUCUCUUCAGUUAUAAAUAGGGGUGGACACAGGUCGAUAAAUCGCCCCAAAACACAGCAGCUUUCACGGCGAAUUCUAUCUCCGAUUUCUUUUAUAAAAGCACAAAAGGCAGCCACGAAUCCUAGCUCUUUACACAAGACAAUAAACCAGAUAAACGGUCUUGUUUUGUUCGACAAAAACCGCAAGAAUAUAAAACCAAAGGUAUUAAAGUCCGCUUCAAAAAUUGCCAGCCAUUUUUGAAUGAAGCGACG